AUUGAACGCUGGCGGCAUGCCUUACACAUGCAAGUCGAACGGUAACGGGCCUUCGGGUGCCGACGAGUGGCGAACGGGUGAGUAAUGCAUCGGAACGUACCUUUCAGUGGGGGAUAACGUAGCGAAAGUUACGCUAAUACCGCAUAUUCUGUGAGCAGGAAAGCAGGGGAUCGCAAGACCUUGCGCUGAUUGAGCGGCCGAUGUCAGAUUAGCUAGUUGGUGAGGUAAAGGCUCACCAAGGCGACGAUCUGUAGCGGGUCUGAGAGGAUGAUCCGCCACACUGGAACUGAGACACGGUCCAGACUCCUACGGAGGCGAGCAG
rnacentral:rRNA from 1 species